AGAGUUUGAUCAUGGCUCAGAGCGAAGCGGCGUGCUUAACACAUGCAAGUCGAACGUGAAAUGUAGCAAUACAGAGUAAAGUGGCGUACGGGUGAGUAACACGUGGGUAAUCUACCAAAGAGUCUAGAAUAACCGGCCGAAAGGCUGGCUAAUGCUGGAUAGUUCAAGUGCACUGUAGAGGUGCGAUUGGGAAAGGGAGCCGGUAACGCCUUCGCUUUUUGAUGAGCCCGCGUCUGAUUAGUUAGUUGGUGAGGUAACGGCUCACCAAGACGAUGAUCAGUAGCUGGUCUGAGAGGAUGAUCAGCCACACUGGAACUGAAACACGGUCCAGACUCCUACGGGAGGCAGCAGUGGGGAAUCUUGCGCAAUGGACGAAAGUCUGACGCAGCCACGCCGCGUGAGUGAAGAAGGCCUUCGGGUUGUAAAGCUCUGUCGGAGGGGACAAAAACGUUUAUGGUUAAUAGCCAUAGAUCUUGAUGGUACCCUUAAAGGAAGCACCGGCUAACUUCGUGCCAGCAGCCGCGGUAAUACGAAGGGUGCAAGCGUUGCUCGGAAUUAUUGGGCGUAAAGGGUAGGUAGGUGGUGAUAUUUGUCUGGGGUGAAAUCCCUGAGCUUAACUCAGGAAGUGCCUUGGAAACGGUAUCACUAGAGUGCUGGAGAGGUUCGCAGAAUUCCCGGUGUAGCGGUGAAAUGCGUAGAGAUCGGGAGGAAUACCAGAGGCGAAGGCGGCGAACUGGACAGCAACUGACACUCAACUACGAAAGCGUGGGUAGCAAACAGGAUUAGAUACCCUAGUAGUCC
rnacentral:rRNA from 1 species